rnacentral:tRNA from 1 species
GGAUUGUGGCUCAGAGGUAAAGUACUUGCCUGCCAUGCAUGAGUUAUUGGGUUCGAUCCUCAGCACCA